UGCACCUUAGGGUGCUGGGUUCUCCACAAAUUCCAAGCAGAUUGAAUAGAGAAGCACCCAUCAGAGGAUGCCAGCCAAAUAGCUUUAUCCUCCAUAUUAGUUGGGUUACCCUGAACAUUAGCCUUAAUGUCAUCUAAUUCCCAGGUCUGGCACACAGGCCAUCUCCAUCUCCCAUCAUCUAUAAUGGAAGCAACCUUAGCCUAAGCUAGAGAGCCUACAUCAUAAAUAACUCAAUCUGCAAAUCUUUCCUUCAAAGGACCAAGAGGAUGCCAAUUAUGAAGACAAAGAAAAGUGUUCUGCCCAUUACCCACUUUAAACCAAUAUGCUGGAUGAGAUCAUUUGUAAGGGGAGUAUGUUGCUCAUGUUUGUUCUUGCUUUUGUUCGUAUUUGACAUGAUCACAAACCAUUAAAAAAACUAGGAAGACAACACUCUAUGAAUGCUGCUGGAGCAGAUUUAGGCUCAAUGAAAGGUGUAUGACCUGAUUUUGGGGUGUAUUGUGAUUGUAUAGUUGCAUGUUUUGGGAUGUCAUUUAUGGAAUGUUGUAUUUUGGGGAGUAUGUUGCUCAUGUUUGUUCUUCCUUAUUAUGUCUCAGUUUGUUAGUUACCAUUGAUCGUAUCUGACGAGUUCCAUUUCUUCCAAUGCAGGGAAGUUUCCUACCCUUGUCACGCAUCAAGAACCUGUCGCGUCUAAAGUUAAUGAGACAAAAGUGACAGUCAAAUUCCAACUGAAGAAGGUUCUCUGCAUGGGAGUUGCUGUUUUCCAACUGUGCAAUUCAGUGUUAAUUUUCUGGUUUCAUUGUUGAAGAAGAACUGGCAAAAUGCAUCUUUUCUCUUUACGGUGGUAGGGACAACAGGCUUUUUCGGUGUUCUUGCCGGGCAGCUUCCUCGGGUACAAUGGUUCCGGGAGUCAAGACAGGCCGACGGAAGAGAGCAACAAGUGGCAACGUACUAUCAACAUCUGAAGCAUGUCCACAGGAGAGUGGCACCCCGAUGAUGUUCUCUGAUGAGACGCAACCACCAGAUGAUACACAAACUGUGGUGGAGGAGACGCAACCAGGUGGAGUGGGUAAGAGCAUACUAUUUAGUUGUUUAAAAAAAAUUUGG